rnacentral:rRNA from 1 species
CGCGCAGGCGGCUCACCAAGUCAGACGUGAAAGCCCCGGGCUUAACCUGGGAGGUGCGUUUGGGACUGGUGGGCUAGAGUUCGGGAGAGGAGAGUGGAAUUCCCAGUGUAGAGGUGAAAUUCGUAGAUAUUGGGAAGAACACCGGUGGCGAAGGCGGCUCUCUGGACCGAGACUGACGCUGAGGCGCGAAAGCGUGGGGAGCAAACA